CCCAAAGAGGUAUGAAAUAUGACACUUGGUCUGAAAAUAGGAGUUUUUCUGAUAAUAAUCGAUUGUACAAAACCUCUUGAAACAUGGAACUGGCACCAAAAACUGAAGCAGUGGUAAGGAGAUAUGCUUUGAAAAACCUGAAAGGAAAAAGGAAAGUUGUCCAAGAGCUUGGGAACCAUUUCAUAGGUGUCAUUGCACAGAGUUACUCAUGCUGUUCUGAUUCACUAUGCCAACCUGCACAGCUUCAGCUGCCAGACAGGAUAGAGAGAAGAAUUAGAGACACAAAAGGUAAAGAUCACAGGUUGAGACAGGAACAAUUUACUGGAAGCAGCAAAUGAAAUAAGAAAAUGAAUGGUAACAGCAACAGUAUUAAUAACAAGUGUACCAGAGAAGAAUAAUUCAAAUGCAAUUGCUCACCACACAGAGACCUCCUGACAAUACCCCACUACUGCCAUACUACCUGACCUGGAAGGGACCCCAUCCCCUCAUCCCCAGAAAAUGAGGUGAGAUGGUAUACAAUAACCCCUAGGUCCUAGCCACACCCCCUGUUUACUGCAAAAAUUAACCCUGUCCUGGCCAGAACCAGGACAAUAUUGAAUUCUUGUUCUGCUAAUAGCAAGUGCCCAUGUGACAUUAAAGGAAGCUUGCUCUGACUCGGGAUUUUUUGUAUACUUUUGAGCUUUUCUAUCAUGGUAAUCCGGAGACCAUUUUAGACUUCUAGAUACAAGUUUCUUUCAAAAAGAGAGAACUAAAAGUUCAAUAAAUUAACUUGUCUUCUAAUUUUUUCUUGCAGAGCAGCUGCUCCACUAUGUGACUGUUUCAGUUAUCCAUUCUCUGAGCUUUCUCUAACUCCUCUACAUACUUCCUGCAAUGGAGAAAACUAAGCUGGACAUAGUACCCACAAAACACAGACUCAUUGAUAUUUAAACUCAAGCAGAUGCCUCUGAUCUGUUUUCAGCACCCUUUUGGUGAUUUGCCAACAUCCUGUUACGUUUUCAUCUGCUAAUGCAUACUUGGCUGAUGAUUUCAAAGAGGUAUCAAUGAUGACUCCUAGGACUGCCUCCUGAGGUGCAAGUUUGAGUUAAGCAUUAUAAAAGCAUCUAAUUGUGUCAUGGAGUAUUUCUUAUUCUGAGUAGAAUCAUGAUUUUGGUGCUGAAUUUUCCUCUGCUUCCUCAGUCAAAAAUAAUAAACCCCCAUGAAGACUGUUUAAUGCAAGAAAUACCUCUUCUGUUGUAGUGAUACCUAAAGAAAAUUCAGGGAGAAAAAAACUCUGAGGCAAAUUAGUUUCAAAGGUGAGAUAAAGAAAGGGUUUUAAUUUGUGCCUAGGCAUAAGAUUACAAGAUGCGCCCGCCCGUCCCUCUGUACACGUUACAAUUUAUAAUACUGCUUGUCCAAUCUGAGGUUUUAUCCUCCCUCUGGCUUUUGCCCUGGACCACCCUCAGUCACACCCAUUGGGAACUGGGGCUGGGGUCCCUGAGACCCUCUCUUCAUCAAUCUGCAUCUUCUUCAAGGGGCAGGGGGCACACAGUUACCCAGAGUUUGACUGUACUCUGCAGUUUAGGCCAAGGUACAAGCAUUCUCCAAACAGAACAGGCCUAUCUUAGAGUGAGACUAAACAUGACUACUGGAA